rnacentral:rRNA from 1 species
UACGUAGGUGGCGAGCGUUGUCCGGAUUUACUGGGCGUAAAGAGCGCGCAGGCGGUCGUACAAGUCGCGUGUGAAAGCCCCUGGCUCAACUGGGGAGGGUCACGCGAUACUGUUCGACUCGAAGGCAGGAGAGGGAAGUGGAAUUCCCGGUGUAGUGGUGAAAUGCGUAGAUAUCGGGAGGAACACCAGCGGCGAAGGCGACUUCCUGGCCUGUUCUUGACGCUGAGGCGCGAAAGCUAGGGUAGCAAACGGG